UGGGGAAUUUUGGACAAUGGGCGAAAGCCUGAUCCAGCAAUGCCGCGUGUGUGAAGAAGGCCUUCGGGUUGUAAAGCACUUUUGUCCGGAAAGAAAUCCUUGGCUCUAAUACAGUCGGGGGAUGACGGUACCGGAAGAAUAAGCACCGGCUAACUACGUGCCAGCAGCCGCGGUAAUACGUAGGGUGCAAGCGUUAAUCGGAAUUACUGGGCGUAAAGCGUGCGCAGGCGGUUUGCUAAGACCGAUGUGAAAUCCCCGGGCUAACCUGGGAACUGCAUUGGUGACUGGCAGGCUAGAGUAUGGCANAGGGGGGUAGAAUUCCACGUGUAGCAGUGAAAUGCGUAGAGAUGUGGAGGAAUACCGAUGGCGAAGGCAGCCCCCUGGGCCAAUACUGACGCUCAUGCACGAAAGCGUGGGGAGCAAAACAGGAUUAGAUACCCUGGUAGUCCCACGCCCUAAACGAUGUCAACUAGUUGUUGGGGAUUCAUUUCCUUAGUAACGUGAGCUAACGCGUGAAGUUGACCGCCUGGGGAGUACGGUCGCAAGAUUAAAACUCAAAUGAAUUGACGGGGUCAUAGCUG
rnacentral:rRNA from 1 species